GCAGCCAUGCCGCGUGUGUGAAGAAGGCCUUCGGGUUGUAAAGCACUUUCAGUAAGGAGGAAAGGUUAGUCACUAAUAUUGGCUAGCUGUGACGUUACUUACAGAAGAAGCACCGGCUAACUCCGUGCCAGCAGCCGCGGUAAUACGGAGGGUGCGAGCGUUAAUCGGAAUUACUGGGCGUAAAGCGUACGCAGGCGGUUUGUUAAGCGAGAUGUGAAAGCCCCGGGCUCAACCUGGGAACUGCAUUUCGAACUGGCAAACUAGAGUGUGAUAGAGGGUGGUAGAAUUUCAGGUGUAGCGGUGAAAUGCGUAGAGAUCUGAAGGAAUACCGAUGGCGAAGGCAGCCACCUGGGUCAACACUGACGCUCAUGUACGAAAGCGUGGGGAGCAAACAGGAUUAGAUACCCUGGUAGUCCACGCCGUAAACGAUGUCUACUAGAAGCUCGGUUCCUCGGAACUGUUUUUCAAAGCUAACGCAUUAAGUAGACCGCCUGGGGAGUACGGCCGCAAGGUUAAAACUCAAAUGAAUUGACGGGGGCCCGCACAAGCGGUGGAGCAUGUGGUUUAAUUCGAUGCAACGCGAAGAACCUUACCUACACUUGACAUACAGAGAACUACCAGAGAUGGU
rnacentral:rRNA from 1 species